rnacentral:rRNA from 1 species
AACAAACGCUGGCGGCGUGCCUAAUACAUGCAAGUCGAACGGGGAAAGCUUUCGGGUGAGUACUAGUGGCGCACGGGUGAGUAACGCGUGGAUAAUCUGCCCUCGAAUGGGGAAUAACUAGUCGAAAGAUUAGCUAAUACCGCAUAAGACCACGACUACUGAGGUAGUUGGGGUCAAAGGAGCAAUUCGUUUGAGGAUGAGUCCGCGUAAGAUUAGCUAGUUGGUGAGGUAAUGGCUCACCAAGGCGAUGAUCUUUAACUGGUCUGAGAGGAUGAUCAGUCACACUGGAACUGAGACACGGUCCAGACUCCUACGGGAGGCAGCAGUAGGGAAUAUUGGACAAUGGGGGCAACCCUGAUCCAGCGACGCCGCGUGAGCGAUGAAGGCCUUCGAGUCGUAAAGCUCUGUUGUAAGGGAAAAAGUUCUGAAUGUACCAUGUGAAUAAGCCCCGGCUAACUUCGUGCCAGCCGCCGCGGUAA